AGCUUUUUGUCCUGAAGCGAGUGCUGUUUUCCCUUCAGAAGAAAGAUGUAUUAAAAUAUUUUCUCCGUUUCAACAUCUGUAGUACAUGAAAAAUGACGUGCAUGAAAGAGUUUCAAGGCUAUGGCAAAUGUGUUGGCUACAGGCAACAAACCUCAAAAUUGAUUUAAAAUAUCAUAAAACAUUUUUAGAUUUAGUUUAUCGAGUCUGUAUGAAGACAUAAAAUAACAUUUUGUUCCCAACUAGCCUCAGAACGUAUGAGCUUGACAUCUGGAAGAAUCAGACUGCUGCUUAAUGAACAGGUUUAGGAAACAUUUUAUUUAUAUUAUAUUAUUAAUACCUUUAUUAAUUUGAUUCUUCACAGAUUAAACUGGCUGAUUUUUUUCUUAAAGGUGACAUUUCAUCUGUUAAAAAACAAUUCACUAAAUUAUUAUUCUUUUUUCACUAAAAAAGCGGAUAUUUGUCAACUUCUGUCUUCACCACAGCACAGCUGAGCUAAAGCAGCAACAGCGUACGUUUCUGACACGUUUCUGACACUGUGGAAGCAAAACGCUACCACAAAUCUGCUCAAGCUGUGUUUUCUCACCUUUCUUGUGCACCCCUCAAAUUUACUCCUUUUGGUGACCUUUGUGGCCAAAAAUGUCCAUGCAAAAAAAUCUGCUAUAAAACCAUCAAACAGAAUUUUUUUUCUGCUUUUCUGUUCGUGAAUCAUUUGUUUAAAUGACCAAACAUUCAAUACGCUUUAGGGUUUUAACCCUUUGAAUUUCAGUUUAAUAACUGUCAGUAUUACAUAAAUCAAAGAUUAGCAGCAAAACUGAUUUGAUGUUAGCAUCUUUGACCAGAUACUGCCUCUGGGGAUCUUCAUGCCCAAAAAUGUCCCAUUGACUUUAAUUAAAAACACAUAUUUUAAUCUCAUAGUCAGUUUAGAAUCAGUCAUUCAUUAAUGUGAGAAUUUUAUGUGGUAGUUAAGCAGAGAUUUUUGACCAGAUUUAAAAGGGUCUCAUUGUCAGUAGAAACAGGAAAUUUUUGUAUUUUCUUUAGUUAUGUUAUGGAGUCAUGGGAUCACCGGAGGGGUGCCAAGAAUGAUUUGUAUGUUUGAAAAAUAAUUUCUGAUUAUUAAAAUGCUGAUUAGAUAUUGUUUCAUAAUGUUGAUUAA